rnacentral:lncRNA from 1 species
AUGGGACUUAGGUGGAAGGAGGCCUGUGAAAAAAGAUGGAAAAAUGAGAAGCCCCAAAUUUUCAACCCUUUCAAAUUUAUGAAAAUGACAAAGGAAUCAAAGAGUUUCACUUCUUUGCCCAGGCUAGAGUGAAGUGGUACAGUUUUGGCUCACUACAACCUCCGCCCCUGGGUUCAAGCCAUUCUCCUGCCUCAGCCUCCUGAAUAUGGGAUUACAGGUACCCGCCACCACACCCGACUAAUUUUUGUAUUUUUAGUGGAGACAAGGUUUUACCAUGUUGGCCAGGUGGGCCUUGAACUCUGGACCUCAAGUGAUCAUCCCACCUUGGCCUACCAAAGUGCUGGGAUUACAGGUGUGAGCCACUGUGCCUGGCCCAGUGUUUCUCUUACUUAAUGAAACUACAGAGUACUGCUUGUUUUUUAAAUAAAUGUUUACAAAGGUGCACCACAGCCUAUCCCAAUCCUCACAACUGAAACCCAGAAAUAAAAUAUGUAGCAUUUGUCACUUUGUGUGCAUGCAAUUAAACAGAAUUUCAUUUCUGAUGUUACUAUAAUAGCAUUGCUAAUAAGUUCAGCUGUACAUCAGCUUUUAGAUAUUACUAACUUGAGUGCUUUUUUUUCCCCCAUAAGACAAUUAUAUUCAAAUAGCUGAAUGCCUAUUCAAAAGGAAAGUCUCAACAAUUACUUUGAUCUGUUAUACUACAGAGAUGUCCUAUGUUGUAUAUGGAUAUUUACCACUGGGCUUUUUGUUUUUUCUUGUGUCCCAUUAUAAUAGACUUUGUCUCCCCUGUUCCUAUCAGAAUGUCAGCUUUCGCAUCUGACUGAUAUCAGUGUUCCUGACCAUAGCGUUCCAUCUCUUCUCCUCCAAUCAGAUGUGGGCUUGCAAACCACAUAACCAUGUGUUAAAAGUGCAUGUGAUAUAAAAUCAUAUUGAUUUUGAGUGAGGAGCUCUUCUCUGAGUGAUACGUUUCUGUUCAUGGGCAUCAACGUUGGGACAUUCAUGAUUUUCGCUAUUCUCAAUCAUUUCCCCUUCUUUUCAGUUGUGUUCUAAAGAAAAGCUUUCUGAAUAACUGAAUUUCACAUAGAUGAGGACCUUUAUGUUCUGAACACAGAAUAUAAAAUCUCACGUCUAUUUCCUAUUUUGCAGGCCUGUAAACAUUAGUGGGGAUGUAAGCAGUAGGGUAUACCCAUGAUGGUCAUAGCUGUAGGCAAGGUGACCAGAAACCAUAUGAUUCACAGAGUGAAGGUAGGUUACAAGGGAGACCUUAGAGGCCAAAAAGUUGAAGUUCAGUUCCAAAGAAGUCUGUGUAAGCCUUAAACUCAAGGGGUGGGUACAUAAAACCUGAAAACCAAAUGGGCAAGAGACUGGUGAAUUAUUUUUCAUUUUUUUUUUCUUUGGUUGUGAUAAUGUUGUGUAACCAAUAACCAAUCACCCCAACACUCAGUGGUUACAUCAUCAUAUAUCUGUUGGGUCAGUUGUGGUUCUGCUUGGCUUGGCUGAGAUUAGCUGGGCUUGUCUAGACUGGCUCUAGGGGUUGGAGCCACAUGGACCAGGCAGAAGGAAUAGCCAUUAGCUAGGACAUGUGGCUGUGUUGACAGAAGACAGGAGGACAAUAGUGGAAGCAGCAAGUGAUGCCUCUGCUCAGAGUUUGCAUCUGCCAUUUCCUCUACAUAGCCCAGUCUGUAGUUAGUGGGAUGGGGAAGUAUUGGUGAACAAGGGCAGGGAGGAAAAACUGUGAACAAAUAGUAUAUUCUACCCCAAUAGUUGAUAAGGGAAUACAUUUGUUGGAAAAAGCAAAGAAGGUGGAAGGUUAACAUUUCAGGAUACCAAAGUGCAAAUAAGAGGGCACCAGACAGUUCUGGCUGACAGAGGCCUUAAAAGGGCCCAGUAAAAGCUGGGCUCUUGUCACAUGAAUGGUCUGAGAAUGACAGAGCUGAAAUGCACACCAGGCUCUAAUGAGAGGGGCUGUGUACCCGAGAGUGAUGGGCAGCCAAGCGCAGCAUCUGCACUCUUUGGAAGGCUUACCUUGUAAUGAUUUUUUAUUUUAGAUUCGGGGGUACACGUGCUUGUUUGUUACAUAGGUAUUACAUGCACAGUGGUAGAAACUG